ACCAUAUCAACAAAGACAAAGUUUCCUCAAUGCAGUGACCAUUGCAGCCUUCGGGAUAGGUGCUGAGCACUACCUCUGCUAUGGUCAACACUGAAUGUGUGCAGAUCACAGGAAUCACUCACA